AGUGCAUAUUUAUGUCUGAAAUACACGGGAGCCCAACCAAAGGGUUUGUUAAUUUUAAAGUUAGUUGUUAUUUUGUAAUGUCUCAGCUAAACUGAUCUGUAGAGUAAUGUAAUCCAGUAGAGUAAUUGGAAUCCAGCUCUGCUCUUGCUGAAGAGAAUUUCUAGGCCUCUCCUGUAGAAGGUUGUAUUGAUGCAGUAAUAACUUUGUACAGGGAAAAUCUAUUAAAUAGAUUUUUACCUCACAAAGAACUUUUUUUUUUUUUCCACUGACUUGCUGUGUUUUCAGGGACAUUUCUCCAUAGGAAAGGAACCUGACUAAGCUAGUGGGCAGUGUUCUUCUGAGAAAGUAGAUUAUGCCAAGUGGAGGAACUUCAUGCAUUCUUGCUGAGUUAGUGUCAUCUUAAAGGCUUUUCUCUUGCUGUCUGCUAUAUCCUCUGUCUAAUCUGCUCUGGUGCCCAGGGAAUGAGACUGUGUUGUGUGUUUCAUCCAUCCUGUCAGUCUUGGAAGGAAGCCACUUUGCUGUUUUGAAUCAAGAUGAGCUUUUCCUCUGUCUCUCUGUUAAACCUUGGAAUGUCUUGGAUGCUGUUGUUGGCUGUGGUCAUCAGUCAGUCCUGCACCUUGAUUAGCACAACCAGUGAAUUCCCAAGUCCUCUGGCAACUCCUCCAUCUUUGUAGUCGGGCCUGACUUUGGCACCAGGCUUGACCAGCCUCUCUGCUGCUGUGCCACCUUCUGUCUGUCCUGAUGGCUGCACCUCAGCUCGGGUGCUACUUGUGGCUCCCAUGUUUCUGCUCUUGGCCCGUGGGGCACCCCAGACCUGCAGGGAGUGAGGGCCACUGCUCAGGCUCACCAGCACUCACUGCUCCAAGCCCAGCUUUUAGUAAUGGCUCAUCAGUUAGUGUUGCUGCCUGCAUGAGGCGUGUGUCUGUGUCUCUCUGUGUAGUGGCUUAUGACCUGUACUAAAAUAAUCAUAAUAAACCAAAUCCCCUACUGUUUUGAAGGUUCCCCUUCUGUUUCAGAAGUAAUGAGCAGGUGUGGUGAGUCUCUAGUCCACAGGAAUGUCUGUGUGGUCCUUGGUGAGCAAGUAGUUGGUUAUCUUCAACCACUUUGAGCAGUGAUACUGCGAUGCUGUUGCUUUUUUUGUGAGGAUUGUGGAGGAGUCCUUCUGCAAGAGACUCUUCCUCACUUUUACAAGAAAGUGUAGCUACAAAUACAUCUCUUAAUGAAGUUUCAGAAGGCACCAAGACUUCCUUCCGUGCUACUAUGUUUUAGAUGGCUACCUGCAACUGCAAUUGUAGGAGGACUGACUUCUUUUCUCUUUAUGACCCAUGUAUUUUCCUUGAUUUUUGGGUAUGGAUAUGGCAUAUUUUCAUCUUUCAAAUUCAGAUCAAAGCCAGGCUUUUGGGGUUUAGCUCCUUUAAACAGUGUUGUCUGAAUGCUGGCUUUGGGAAAACGAGGGUGUCUUCUUAGAGGAAGCAACAAUGUAGGCUGAAGUAUGAGAGGUGCCUGAGAAGUGAGGGUCUGAAAUCCAAGGUUCUGACAUCAGAAGCAGGUUAACAGGUAGGAGUGUGGGAAGGAAGACAAGUGGAUAACACUAAAGGCUGGAGGGAGCGAUGCAGAGCAUCUGGGAGCAGAAUUCUGUGUGUUUGCACCUGCUUGGAGCUCAUGAUGUGUUUUAUGCGUGUGGCUGGUGCCUGGGCACCUGUGGCGGUGUUUGUAGCAAUGCUGUCAAGAGGUCAGGCAGCAAGAGGGGAAGCAGAAGGGUUGUAACAUGCUCCACGGGAGGCUGUGAGUAAAAACAGGCUUAUAUUUAAUUCCCACCUGUGUAAUCUCUGUCAUCCUGUGGGGCAGGAUAAUGGUCAGUUGUGCCCUUGGUGUAAUAGGUGGGCACUGAGCAGCAGUUCCGUGGAGAAGUCAAAUGGAACACUCUCAUCCUGGCUCUGGUCACCUUUACAUCCCUCUGGGUGCUCACAGACACUCAUUGGUCUUUGACUGUUGCCAAUGACUCCAGCACUGUACUUUGUUUUAAUGCCAGCUUGCUCUUAUGUCACAGCUGCUGUUGAGAACCGAGAUACGGUCAUGUAUUGUGAAGACUGUUAUGAAAAAGGAAAUUAGAGUGGAGUACUGUGUAGUGAGUAGCCACGCUUGUAGUUGUGUUGUUGCACAGUGACUUGUGGAUGAGAGUGCACAGCAGUGCAUGGUUUCCCUUGUGCAACUAACAGCCAGGUUGUUUGUAAUUUCCCGUGCUGUUUGAAACAGGGUUCUCAUGUAUCAGCCAUCUACUGCCAGAGUGCCCAGCGUGACGACGGUCGAUGCUGCUGCUAUUCCUCCUUCAUUAACAGACUACCCAGUACCAUUCCAUCACCCACCAAUAUCCAGUAUUUCAUCAGACUUGCCAGGUAGGUGCUGGGUGUUUUUCAUGUAUGUUCUGACAGCAGUAUUAAUUUAUGGGGUGGGUAGAAAUUGGAAGAAUUUGUUAACUCUUUGGUUUUGGCUUUUUUUUUUUAAUGGAACAAGUCUAUAUGCAGUAUGGCACUGAUGUGAUGUCUAGACAAGCCUAGUAUAGGCUGUCUGCCCAUUUUCAGAUUGCAUUUUGCAGCAGUGAUGUGAAAAGCACUGCUUUUGGGGUACAAACUGGCACAUGAGCACGCACAGCAGCCAGAAACUGCGCUUGCCGUGCUCGGCCAGACUUUGUGUAAACAUCCUGUAGUUACGUGUUGUAGAUGUGAGGGAGAGUAGUUGCUUGUUUUAGUUACUAGAGCUGUGAGGGUGCUAACUCAUCCCAGCCCUCAGUGUACUUACUCUGCUAGCUGAUUGUAGUGGUGCUCUGUCUAGACUGUAUGAAAAAGGUUAAGGUGAGCUACAAUCUGUGAGCUGACCUCUAUUGACUUUCUUUACCUAGACAUACCCUAAAUGCCUAUGAUGUAUUCUUCAACACUGCUGCUAAAUAUCAGACAAAAGGUGGGGAUACUGAUUGUUUUCUAUCCUGGCUCCUUGAAAAGAACACUGUGUAUAGGGACUCUGGGGGUUCUCUUGGCCGGCUGUAACAAACCCAGAGCCCAGGAAGUGGUGACUUGUGGUGACAGGUGUCACUUUGGCCUCCUGUACUUCCCUUUCCCUGCUCCAUUGCCUGUCUCCAUUCCUCCCCUGCAACAUCUCUGGGUUUUUUCCUCUUCUUUCAGCACCAGUUUGGCAAUGAGAUGGAUAUCAUUCCCCUUGUUUCUCUGUCCAUUUUGGCUCCCUUACUGCUCCCUCCCUCCACUUCUCCCUUGUUAAGAAAUCAGUAGUCUUCCCAAAUUGGAUGGGAGAAUAAGCUGAGAGAAUGGAAGUCUAGAACUGUUGUUCAGCUCUUACCAACCAAGUUCUAGAACUUGUACAGACAAAAGAAGCUGUCAGUUCUGUAAAUGCAACUGACCUUUAAAAUCUCCUUCUAAAUUUUUCUCUAAUAGAGAAGAGGAGAGAUUUCACGGGCCAGAAGAGAUUUGGAGGUGAGGGGAGAGGGAGGGAGUAUAUCAUUUCUUUCUGUUGACAUAGCAAACACAAGGCCAAUAUUUAGGAAAAAAAAAAAAAAAAAGUGGUAAUUUCUCAUUGGUUUCAUAAUUCUAAACAUCUUGCCUUAAAUGCUUACACGCAAAUGGUGUUUAAGAUGGACACUAGUUGUGACUGCUCUAAGAGGAUAUACAUUGAACUACUUGUAGUUUCCUCUUCUUCAUUCCUUUUAUUUGUCUAGACACAAAACGGGGAUGAUAUUAGAAAUGUUUCCUUAUUGGCUGCCCGUGGGUGGAGGAAGAGACCUGCUGCUUGUUUUUGGACUUGUGCAUGUUGUGACUUUACUUCAUUCCAGCAUCUUUAAUGUGAUGACACUCUUCAUGUCCCAGUUUGGCCAAGUCAGGUCUGGAUGUUCUUUCGCUAUUCCCAGUUGAUUCACAGCAGUACUGUCCUCCUAUGUUUUUGGAUAGUCUCACCUCAACCUUAACAAGCAGCACGCCUGGCAGCAUCAUCACCUCCACCAGCCACCACGAGAGCAGCACGCACGUUAGCUCCUCGGGCCGGGCCGAGGCCGGCGUCAUCACCAGCAGCGGCGGCGCGCCCGACAUCAUCUCCCUGGACUGACCCUCGGGGCAGCACGGGACCCACAGGCAUUGCACACAGCUGCUGCUGCUGCUCCUCCUUCCCCCCACCCCGGAAUUCCAGCACCUCGGAGCUCACGCUGAUAUUUAUUGAAAGGAUUUGCCUCCUGGGAGAGUGGGGUGAAUUUCGCUGAUGCUCGGAAGAGAAGCGAUAGGAUGACUUUUGGUUGGGUUUUUUUUCUUUCUCCUGCUCGUUGAAUAGCUGGUGUAGAAAAGGCCCUUUUGAGAAUACGUGUUCAAGCUUUUUGUUUGUUCUGGGGAUACUGACUUUCUGUUGUGUGGAUUCCAUAAGUGCUUUUUGAUUUUGUUGUAAAACACAGCAAUAAUGUAAAAACAAAUGAGUUUGUUUUCUUUUUUUUUUUUGAUAAAGAAAAGCACUUACUCGCUCUAGGACAGCAGUUAGAAAAAAGUGCAAAAGUGUAGGAAUUAGUGAAUUUGUAAUAUUUUCACUGGGGCCUGUAAUAAACUUCAUUAAGAGAAUGAAGCUUUGAAAUAGCCAUGACGUGUUUAAUGUCUUGUUCCCCACAUCCCCCAUUAAGGGGACAUAGUGGAAGCCACUAUAAAUGGAGUUGUUGGGGGUUUUUUUGCCUAGAUUCAUGUUCACAAAUGCAACAAGAACCUAAGCUGUGACCUCUUUCCUUUUAUGUUUUUUUUUGAGCUAGGAAGGGGACAGACUAUCUAUGCAAACCCUGCAUCACACAGUCUCUGUGCUGCCGUGUUACAACUGGGACACCUUGCCACCACCAAAAACUCCCAGCAUACAGUUGAAUGCACAGCUGCAUUCUGUGGUAGCUGUAAGAAGAAUAAAUAGGAAAGAGUUUCUCCAGUGCAGGAGUGUUUUCUAGGAUUUCCUGAUUAUGGUUUAUGUCUCUUCAGCACCUGCUGUAUUCCAUGUGGACUGUGAGGGAGGCUUGGCUUUUUAGGAAACAGAAGCCAUAGCUGCACAGUGUCCCCACCUAAUUUUGAAUUGUGUGUUCAGGGCUUAAUGAUGCUUUGCCCCACAUUUCCUGGCCUCCUGAUUGUUGCUUUUCUACUUCAAAGGGAACAACUCCCCCCUGUUUAUUCCUCUAAUGACUGUGCUGCUUUGUUAGUGUGUAUGCAGUGUCUGCCCACACACACCUGGGGAUAACCUCAGCAGUACUGUAUAUGGAAGAGGUUACAGACUAGGAAAACCAAGUCAUUUCCAUAGAGCUGGAAUAAUGAUAUUGUCUAUGUAUGCUGAAAUAACAGCUUUUUCAAGUGUUGCGUUUCUUUUAAGUAACUGUAUUUGAGAUUAUUUCUUCCCUAAUGACCAGAUCUUAACUUUUUUUGCUAAUUUCAUGUUCCUUUUUUCUUACCUCUUUAGUUGGAUGUCUGGUGCUUUUUGCCUUCCAGUACUGUUACAGUAUUUGAACCAAGUACAUGGAUGAAAUAUAUUGAAACAGGAUGUUUUGUAAUUUUUGUCUGCCCUGUAUCCCUACCUUUAAUGCUGCAUUACUGUUCCUUAUUGCCUUUUUUGUAUGAUAUUUCAUGCAGUCCUGUGUUCACAUGUUGGUCUUAAUAGUGCCCCAAUCUUUCUUUUCUUUUUUCUUAUCAGUUUAAUAUUUUGUACCUGUUAAGGAUCAGUUGUUAGCACGAUUUAUUUCCAAUAAAACCAUGCUUGUUAUGAAGUUUUUCUUGAUGGCCUGCAGCAGAUCAGUGCUUUCUGCAUCACCAUUGCACGUCGACUUGACCUGUAAGUAGAGUGUGGAAAGAGGUUCCAAGAGUAAUUCUGAAUAAAAGAUUUAAAACUGGUCUCUGCUGAAAA